GUGGGGAAUUUUGGACAAUGGGCGAAAGCCUGAUCCAGCAAUGCCGCGUGUAGGAUGAAGGCCCUCGGGUUGUAAACUACUUUUGUACGGAACGAAAAGCUCUCUUCUAAUAAAGGAGAGUGAUGACGGUACCGUAAGAAUAAGCACCGGCUAACUACGUGCCAGCAGCCGCGGUAAUACGUAGGGUGCGAGCGUUAAUCGGAAUUACUGGGCGUAAAGCGUGCGCAGGCGGUUAUGUAAGACAGAGGUGAAAUCCCCGGGCUCAACCUGGGAACGGCCUUUGUGACUGCAUAGCUAGAGUACGGUAGAGGGGGAUGGAAUUCCGCGUGUAGCAGUGAAAUGCGUAGAUAUGCGGAGGAACACCGAUGGCGAAGGCAAUCCCCUGGACCUGUACUGACGCUCAUGCACGAAAGCGUGGGGAGCAAACAGGAUUAGAAACCCCAGUAGUCC
rnacentral:rRNA from 1 species